UACGUAGGGGGCAAGCGUUGUCCGGAAUCAUUGGGCGUAAAGAGCGUGUAGGCGGCCCGAUAAGUCCGCCGUGAAAGUCCAGGGCUCAACCCUGGAAUGCCGGUGGAAACUGUCGGGCUGGAGUCCGGAAGAGGCGAGUGGAAUUCCUGGUGUAGCGGUGAAAUGCGCAGAUAUCAGGAGGAACACCAAUGGCGAAAGGCAGCUCGCUGGGGACGGUACUGACGCUGAGACGCGAAAAGCGUGGGGGAGCAA
rnacentral:rRNA from 1 species